GCCUGCCCACUGAAUUGUUUUAAAGGGCCGCGGUAAUUUGACCGUGCGAAGGUAGCAUAAUCAAUAGUCUUUUAAUUGGGGGCUGGAAUGAAUGGUCGGACAAAGAGCAAGCUGUCUUUCUUAUAAUUUUUGAAUUUUACUUUCAAGUGAAAAGGCUUGAAUACUUUAAGGGGACGAUAAGACCCUAUAAAACUUUACAAAAAGAUUGUAUUUUUUAAAUUACAGUUUAAUAUUGAUUAUAGUCUAUUUGUUAUGUUGGGGUGACAAAGAUAUAAUUAAGUAACUGUUGUUAGUAUAAAAUAGUUAUAUUUAGUUUAGUUGAUCCUUUAUUUAAAGAUUAAAAGAUUAAGUUACUUUAGGGAUAACAGCGUAAUUUUCUCUGAGAGUUCUUAUCGACGAGAGUAGUUGCGACCUCGAUGUUGAAUUAAAAUUUCUUUUAAGUGUAGCAGCUUAGUGAGUAGGUCUGUUCGACCUUUAAAAUUUUA
rnacentral:rRNA from 1 species